UACGUAGGGGGCAAGCGUUGUCCGGAAUCAUUGGGCGUAAAGCGCGUGUAGGCGGUUCGAUAAGUCUGCUGUGAAAGUCCAGGGCUCAACCCUGGAAUGCCGGUGGAAACUGUCGGGCUAGAGUCCGGAAGAGGCGAGUGGAAUUCCUGGUGUAGCGGUGAAAUGCGCAGAUAUCAGGAGGAACACCAAUGGCGAAGGCAGCUCGCUGGGACGGUACUGACGCUGAGACGCGAAAGCGUGGGGAGCAAACAGG
rnacentral:rRNA from 1 species